rnacentral:rRNA from 1 species
GUCUUUUUGAGUUUAAUUUAAAGUCUAAUCUGCCCACUGAUAAAUAUUUAAGGGCCGCAGUAUUCUGACUGUGCAAAGGUAGCAUAAUCAUUAGUCUUUUAAUUGAGGGCUUGUAUGAAUGAUUGGACGAGAUAUAAGCUGUCUCAUAAAAAUUUAAAUAGAAUUUUAUUUUUUAGUCAAAAAGCUAAAAUACAUUUAAAAGACGAGAAGACCCUAUAGAUCUUUAUACUUUAUUUUUAAAUUUUUUUAGGUUAUUUUUUAAAUUUAUAAAAUAAAUUAUUUUGUUGGGGUGACAAUGAAAUUUGAUAAACUUUCAUUAUUUUAAAACAUUAAUUUAUGAUUAAUUGAUCUACUAUUAGUGAUUAAAAAUUUAAGUUACCUUAGGGAUAACAGCGUAAUUAUUUUGGAGAGUUCUUAUCGAUAAAAUAGUUUGCGACCUCGAUGUUGGAUUAAGAUUAAUUCUGGGUGUAGCAGUUCAGUUUAUUAAGUCUGUUCGACUUUUAAUUUCUU